CAAGGGUUCCUGUCCAACGUUAAUCGGGGCAGGGUGAGUCGGCCCCUAAGGCGAGGCUGAAAAGCGUAGUCGAUGGGAAACGGGUUAAUAUUCCCGUACUUGGAUAAACUGCGAUGUGGGGACGGAGCAGGUUAGGUUAUCGCACUGUUGGAUAUGUGCGUUUAAGUUGGUAGGUGAGAAGUUUAGGCAAAUCCGGACUUCUAUAACACCGAGAGAUGAUGACGAGGCUCUACGGAGCUGAAGUAACCGAUACCACACUUCCAGGAAAAGCCACUAAGCUUCAGGUUUAUCUAAACCGUACUGAAAACCGACACAGGUGGUCAGGUAGAGAAUACUCAGGCGCUUGAGAGAACUCGGGUGAAGGAACUAGGCAAAAUAGCACCGUAACUUCGGGAGAAGGUGCGCCGGCGUAGAUUGUAGUCCCUUGCGGGCGAAGGUUGAACCGGUCGAAGAUACCAGCUGGCUGCAACUGUUUAUUAAAAACACAGCACUCUGCAAACACGAAAGUGGACGUAUAGGGUGUGAUGCCUGCCCGGUGCUGGAAGGUUAAUUGAUGGUGUAAUCGAAAGAGAAGCUCCUGAUCGAAGCCCCAGUAAACGGCGGCCGUAACUAUAACGGUCCUAAGGUAGCGAAAUUCCUUGUCGGGUAAGUUCCGACCUGCACGAAUGGCAUAAUGAUGGCCAGGCUGUCUCCACCCGAGACUCAGUGAAAUUGAAAUCGCCGUGAAGAUGCGGUGUACCCGCGGCUAGACGGAAAGACCCCGUGAACCUUUACUAUAGCUUGACACUGAACAUUGAAUUUUGAUGUGUAGGAUAGGUGGGAGACUUAGAAGUAGUCACGCCAGUGAUUAUGGAGUCGUCCUUGAAAUACCACCCUUUAACGUUUGAUGUUCUAACGAAGAUUACGAAACGUGGUCUCGGACAGUGUCUGGUGGGUAGUUUGACUGGGGCGGUCUCCUCCCAAAGAGUAACGGAGGAGCACGAAGGUUUGCUAAUGACGGUCGGACAUCGUCAGGUUAGUGCAAUGGUAUAAGCAAGCUUAACUGCGAGACAGACAAGUCGAGCAGGUACGAAAGUAGGUCAUAGUGAUCCGGUGGUUCUGAAUGGAAGGGCCAUCG
rnacentral:rRNA from 1 species